rnacentral:rRNA from 1 species
UUCCGUGUCGCGUUCCGUGUCCGGAAUGGGAAGUUUUGUGAACCUUAACACUUAGAGGAAGGAGAAGUCGUAACAAGGUUUCCGUAGGUGAACCUGCGGAAGGAUC